rnacentral:rRNA from 1 species
GUAGGGAAUAUUGCGCAAUGGGGGAAACCCUGACGCAGCGACGCCGCGUGAGUGAUGAAGGCCUUCGGGUCGUAAAGCUCUGUUGCAGGGGAAUAAAAAAAUGAAGGUACCCUGUGAGGAAGGAUCGGCUAACUUCGUGCCAGCAGCCGCGGUAAGACGAGGGAUCCUAGCGUUGCUCGGAAUCAUUGGGCGUAAAGAGGGCGUAGGUGGCUUGGUAAGUCAGGUGUGAAAGCCCAGGGCUCAACCCUGGAAGUGCAUUUGAUACUGCUGAGCUUGAGUGUCGGAGAGGUUACCGGAAUACCUGGUGUAGUGGUGAAAUACGUAGAUAUCAGGUGGAACACCGGAGGCGAAGGCGGGUAACUGGACGAACACUGACACUGAGGCCCGAAAGCGUGGGGAUCAAACAGGAUUAGAAACCCUUGUAGUCC